rnacentral:ncRNA from 1 species
UCACCGUCACAACGGCUUCCUGGCGUGGCGGGUAGAAUUAAAUGGAGCA